UGGGGAAUCUUGCACAAUGGGGGCAACCCUGAUGCAGCGACGCCGCGUGAGCGAUGAAGCCCUUCGGGGCGUAAAGCUCUUUCGGCCGGAACGAUAAUGACGGUACCGGGAGAAGAAGCUGCGGCUAACUACGUGCCAGCAGCCGCGGUAAUACGUAGGCAGCAAGCGUUGUUCGGAGUUACUGGGCGUAAAGAGUGCGUAGGCGGUUUUCUAAGUUCGGUGUGAAAUCUCCCGGCUUAACUGGGAGGGUGCGCCGAAGACUGGGAAGCUGGAGUGUGGGAAAGGCAGGCGGAAUUCCUGGUGUAGCGGUGAAAUGCGUAGAUAUCAGGAGGAACACCGGCGGUGUAGACGGCUUGCUAAACCAUAACUGACGCUGAGGCACGAAAGCGUGGGUAGCAAACA
rnacentral:rRNA from 1 species